GCCCCACUAGUCUGGGAUACCACUUGGAAACAAGGUGCUAAUACCGGAUAAGAAAGCGGAUCGCAUGAUCAGCUUUUAAAAGGCGGCGUAAGCUGUCGCUAUGGGAUGGCCCCGCGGUGCAUUAGCUAGUUGGUAAGGUAAAGGCUUACCAAGGCGAUGAUGCAUAGCCGAGUUGAGAGACUGAUCGGCCACAUUGGGACUGAGACACGGCCCAAACUCCUACGGGAGGCAGCAGGC
rnacentral:rRNA from 1 species